GGGCUUCUGACUGCUUAUUGCACCACAUGUGUUUUUCUUUGAAACAAACUUGCUUUGGCGGUGGGCCCAGCCUGCCGCCAGAGGUCUAAACUUACAACCAAUUUUUUAUCAACUUGUCACACCAGAUUAUUACUAAUAGUCAAAACUUUCAACAACGGAUCUCUUGGUUCUCGCAUCGAUGAAGAACGCAGCGAAAUGCGAUACGUAAUAUGAAUUGCAGAUAUUCGUGAAUCAUCGAAUCUUUGAACGCACAUUGCGCCCUCUGGUAUUCCGGAGGGCAUGCCUGUUUGAGCGUCGUUUCUCCCUCAAACCGCUGGGUUUGGUGUUGAGCAAUACGACUUGGGUUUGCUUGAAAGACGGUAGUGGUAAGGCGGGAUCGCUUUGACAAUGGCUUAGGUCUAACCAAAAACAUUGCUUGCGGCGGUAACGUCCACCACGUAUAUCUUCAAACUUUGACCUCAAAUCAGGUAGGACUACCCGCUGAACUUAAGCAUAUCAAAAGCCGGAGGAA
rnacentral:rRNA from 1 species